GCUCCAUUCGUCUAGUGGCCUAGGACAGAGGGUCUUCGCCCCUCAAACGCCGGUUCGAGUCCGGUAUGGAGCU
rnacentral:tRNA from 1 species